rnacentral:rRNA from 1 species
GACGUAGGGGGCGAGCGUUGUCCGGAAUUACUGGGCGUAAAGAGCACGUAGGCGGGUAUUUAAGUCAGGUGUGAAAGACCGCAGCUCAACUGCGGGGUGGCACCUGAAACUGGAUAUCUUGAGGGCAGGAGAGGGCAGUGGAAUUCCAGGUGUAGCGGUGAAAUGCGUAGAAAUCUGGAGGAACACCAGUGGCGAAGGCGACUGUCUGGACUGACCCUGACGCUGAGGUGCGAAAGCGUGGGUAGCAAACAGG